rnacentral:rRNA from 1 species
CAAUAGCGUAUAUUAAAGUUGUUGCAGUUAGAACGCUCGUAGUCGGAUUUCGGGGCGGGCCGACCGGUCUGCCGAUGGGUACGCACUGGUCGGCGCGUCCUUCCUUCCGGAGACCGUGCCUACUCUUAACUGAGCGGGCGCGGGAGACGGAACUUUUACUUUGAAAAAAUCAGAGUGUUUCAAGCAGGCAUUGCGCUCUUGCAUGGAUUAGCAUGGGAUAAUGAAAUAGGACUUUGGUGCUAUUUUGUUGGUUUCGAACACCGAAGUAAUGAUUAAUAGGGACAGUCAGGGGCACUCGUAUUCCGCCGAGAGAGGUGAAAUUCUCAGACCAGCGGAAGACGAACCACUGCGAAAGCAUUUGCCAGGGAUGUUUUCACUGA